UUGUUAGGUAGCUUGUAGAUGCGAAGAAGGAAAGUAGUGUGAUAACGUUUGUCGAGAUAAAAAACAACUAGUUAUUUAAUAAUUAAGUUUCCAGUGAUGUGGAAGUAACCUGGCCCACAGCUUCCAGGAUUAGGUACCCAUUCAGAGUUGGGAAGCUAAGUAGAUAAAUCAAACAAUUUUUUAAUGUUGAUUAUGUACAUGUAAAUGAGUCUUUAAAAAAUCCUGAUAAUUUUUAACUGUAAAUUGAUAGAAAAACAUUCUGAGUAUUUAAGAUAUCUAGCUAAACACCAGUCAUUUUGUGCAAUCUGUAUUAUGUUUAAUUCAACAAAUUUGUUUAUUUAGUUUGCUGGAUGUUCUGGAAAUUGCAGUGUUCUAAAAAUAUAUUUUACAUGGUGUAAAUGGAGUUCCUCAAAUGAACUUUACCAAUUUUGUUUUAUGGCAAUGAGAAUACUCUUAAAAAAAAAAAAAAUACAGAUAUUGUGACAUGUUGGGGGUGGGGGACAAAGCAUAGUUGCUUUUGCUUCUUGUAGGUUCUGCUGUAAUGAGACCAUGGAGUUGAAGAAACCUCUGAGUGACUUAAGUUGGAAGUAUGCAUGAAGUAUCAACACUGCACAAGGUUUAGUUUAUGAUUCAGGUUCCACGUUGUGGAAGACCCCAAGUUUUUCUCGCCUCAAUACACUGAAGUUUCCUCAAACGCGUUGGAGUUUGACCUGCAGUACUUCAUACCAGUACAGAAGGUAUCUGGAAGGUCAGGCAGAGUAAUAUAUUGUUCAAUGUAAUAAGCUGAUAUAUUAACAUUUUCUAUUUAAUUUUGAAUUAAGACCAAACAGAUGGUGUUUCUUAAUUUCUGCAGUCUAAUAAACAGUUAAUUUGAAUGCUUCUUUAAUCAGAACUUUCUAUAGCAUGAUUUACAAAGGUUUAAUAUCAGUGUAAAUUGAUGAUAAAAAAAAAAGAGUCAAGAAUGAGUUCUGUAUUUGUUUGCCAACAUAUUACCUGUUAUUGGUGUUACCUAGAAUUGCCUCUUAACCAAUUAUCAGUUUACAUAUUGCUUGUUAUGAGCUAUUUACUUCUAGAGAACUAUCUGCAGUGAACAAAAAUAGAAUGGUCUGUAUCGUUGAACAAUCACCACUCAUAAUGUAAACUUCUUGUCCUGGAGAUCUGUAAGUAUACCAUUCAAAUUACCAGUGGUAUAUUCUGAAAUAUGCUUAGUAAUACUGGACUCAUGAGAAUUUGAUUAAUUUUUAAUAAAAUAUUUAGUAUGAAUUCUAAGUAUGAGUGCUAUCAUUUGCUUGAGUUGCACUUGAUGAAAAUUGGGGUAAGAUUUGUUUAUUCAUUGCAAAUUUUUAAGAUAACUCAAAACCAGCUAUAGCUCUACAUAUUUUCUAUAAUCUAAAUAUCAAAGUAAUACAGGGUUAACUUGAAAAGCAUGCCCUUGUUUCUGUUACAAGAACAAGUAAGCUUAUAAAAGUGGACAUGCUUUAUUAAUUUAUAGAAAUGGAUCUGUUAUUAUUUUGGAAGUUAAUGACCAAAUGUUUUUGCCCAUUAUUCCUAUGUGUGGAAACCAUAGUACUACAGUUAGCGUAGUAUUUACAAAAUGUAUUAUAAUCUCUGACAAGGUUAAUAGUGCUGAAUCAUUGAAUUUUGUGAUAUGGAAUUGUACAUAAUGUCAAUAUGUAUAUAUCAAUAAAUUAUUGUUCUUUUAAAUUGGGCCUGUUGAGUUUACUUUUUUUAUGCCAAGUGAUUGAUCAUGUAAGGUGAUUUUGAACCUGAUGCAAUCUGGUAGAUCUGUUGCAAUAUGGAUAUUGGUAUUAAGAGAUGAUCAUAUACAACAUUAACAGUAAUUACAUAGUUUAUAUUAUUGGUUUAUUUAUUGCAACACGAGUAAUUGACAGUCAAUUUUAAACAGAAUAUUCUUUUAAAUUAUUGAACACUAAUCAAAUCUUGAGAUAAGGGUUUGAACUUAACAUUUAAAGGAGAAUUUAUCACUGGCUUGAAUUUUGAAUUAGUUUAAUCACAGUGUUAAAACUCGCCAGAAAUACAACACAGUCAGCAGUGGGAUUCUUUUGGUAAAAAUAGAAUUGAUUAGACUUAAACUGUUAAAGAUCAUCACAAUGAUGGUAAAAGUCAAUUUUGCUUGAUGACUGCAUUAGAACUAGGUCAGGAAGAUGGUUGCAGAUAAUUGAAAAGGGAACCAAGAAGAAGUAUAUAGGUAUAUAUAUGUGUGGAAGGACAAGUUUAUGAAUUAAAAAGAAAAUCACCCCUGAGAAGUUAAAGUAAAAGGUAUACCAAUUAAAGAUACAAAAAUAAAACCAGUGACAAGGUCUAAAGUUCUUGGAGAUUGUAAUGGCAAGGUUGAAAAAUUGAAGGACUUCAGAAAGGUUAUAAUGAUAAAAUUGAAUGUGUAUGUA